rnacentral:rRNA from 1 species
CACGUAGGCACCAAGCGUUGUUCGGAUUCAUUGGGCGUAAAGGGUGCGUAGGUGGCGCCGUAAGUCAGGUGUGAAAUCCCGGGGCUCAACCCCGGAACUGCACUUGAUACUGCGGUGCUCGAGUACUGGAGAGGAGAUUGGAAUUUACGGUGUAGCAGUGAAAUGCGUAGAUAUCGUAAGGAAGACCAGUGGCGAAGGCGAAUCUCUGGACAGUUACUGACACUGAGGCACGAAGGCCAGGGGAGCAAACGGG